UACGUAGGUGGCAAGCGUUGUCCGGAAUUAUUGGGCGUAAAGCGCGCGCAGGCGGCUAUGUAAGUCUGGUGUUAAAGCCCGGGGCUCAACCCCGGUUCGCAUCGGAAACUGUGUAGCUUGAGUGCAGAAGAGGAAAGCGGUAUUCCACGUGUAGCGGUGAAAUGCGUAGAGAUGUGGAGGAACACCAGUGGCGAAGGCGGCUUUCUGGUCUGUAACUGACGCUGAGGCGCGAAAGCGUGGGGAGCAAACAGGAUUAGAUACCCUGGUAGUCCACGCCGUAAACGAUGAGUGCUAGGUGUUGGGGGUUUCAAUACCCUCAGUGCCGCAGCUAACGCAAUAAGCACUCCGCCUGGGGAGUACGCUCGCAAGAGUGAA
rnacentral:rRNA from 1 species